UUCCAGCUAUUCUUUCCCUCUAUGAAAGGGUCCAAUGAAAGAGAAGAUGAAAAAGAUGUAAAGUGAAAAAAAAGAGAAGGAAGAGGAGGAGAAAAAUAAAGAAGAAUAAGAGAGCCCUGAACUGUGCCUACGAUUUCAGGAGAAUAAGGAAGGCCUCGCCUUGAUUCCCCAAAUAUCCCCUUCACCUGUUGGCUGAUGCUUGAAAUUCCCACAGGAGGGAUAAAUCUUACUUUCUAUAAUUAAAGAUGCUGAUACUUGUGGUUCAACCCAUUUCAUGCCUGCCUGCACAAUUGAUUAUGACAUCCAAGGUG